rnacentral:lncRNA from 1 species
GCCUACUUCCCUCUCUCUCUCUCUCUCUGUGCCUGCCUCUCUGCCUACUUGUGAUCUCUCUCUGUCAAAUAAAUAAAUAAAAUCUUAAAAAAAAAAAAUCCAGGAUGCCUUGUGACAUUUGCAUUUCAGAAGAACAAUGCCUAUUUAGCAUAAGUAUGUCCCAUGCCUAAUCUGGGAUACACUGAAGCUUAAAAAAAAUCCCUCGCUGUUUAUCUGGUACUCUAAUUUCACCGGGUGUCCUGUAUUUUGCCUGGCAAUCCGAUUCCUUAAGCAACCGGAAGGCGCUCAGCACACAUCAGGCCACCUGGGUCCAUCGGGUUCCCAUGACACUCACCCGGGCCUACGAGGCUCCCCCUGGUCAGGAAUGAAGGAAUGCGUCCCUGAUGCCACCCAUUCCUGUUCUUCUCCCAUUUCUCAGAUUUUUGGUGUCUGCUUUCUUCAAAGUCCUAUCAUCCAUGCCGCCUCAUUCAGGAAGCCUUCCUGCCGCCAUACCCGCUGCUUGGAGAGGAGCGUUUGAAGGGGAACUGCCCAGGAAGCUUGAUCUGCGCUUGAGUGUUGCAAAGAUGAGCAAUAAAACUUUAUUGAAUAAGCAACAGCGGCUGAAAUUGACAUUUUCUUCUUCCAACUCUUGGUCUACCCUAGGAUUUCUCCAGUUCUGCACAUUGACAUUUGGGGUCACAUAAUUCCGUUUACGGGGGACAAUCCUGCACGAGGGAGUACGUUGAACAGCAUCUCCUGCUUUUGCCCACUAGAUGCCGGGAGCAUCCCCCAAGCUGUGACAACAGAGAUGUCUCCAGAUGCCACCAAGAAUCCCUUGGGUGGGCAGAAUCACCCUCAGCCGAGAGCCUCUAGUCUACUCUUAUCAUACCAGUGGCUACAUGUGCGGAGGUCUUUGGCCAUUUCAGGGACGGGGACUCAGUGCGGCCACAGCGGAACCUGUCAUCUCGAGUCUUCUCCCCACCCCUGCCCCACCUGCUCCGUCUUCAUCUCAUGACCCAACCUCCGCCUUUUAUUCUCCCAAGUCCUCUUUGUUUGACUUCCUAAAUACCUGCUCAACCUGUCCACUUCUCUCCAUCUCCCCUGCCACCACCUGAACCCAGGCCACCAUCAAUGCUUACCUGGAUGAUGGCUGUAGCCCCCUCCCAGGCACUGUGUUCUCUCACCCCUGCACCCUUACUCCAGCAGCCCGAGAGGGAGAGAGAGACAGAGAGCGCGAUCGAUUACAGGCUUGACUGGGGCUGCAGAAGCCCCUCCCAAGAAGCCCCACCCACACUGGUGCCACCGGAGCUGCCUGGGUGUCCUUGCAACAUGCCCGCUGGCUUCCUCGGGCAGCAGGUGAUCAACGAUCGAGCAGGGAGGGCACCAUGACUUUUAUGACCCAGUCUCAGAGGUGUUGGACAUCAUCACUUCUGCUGUAUUUGGUAAGAAACAAG